AUUGAACGCUGGCGGCAUGCCUUACACAUGCAAGUCGAACGGCAGCACGGGAGCAAUCCUGGUGGCGAGUGGCGAACGGGUGAGUAAUAUAUCGGAACGUGCCCGGUCGUGGGGGAUAACGUAGCGAAAGCUACGCUAAUACCGCAUACGAUCUACGGAUGAAAGCGGGGGAUCGCAAGACCUCGCGCGAUUGGAGCGGCCGAUAUCAGAUUAGGUAGUUGGUGAGGUAAAGGCUCACCAAGCCGACGAUCUGUAGCUGGUCUGAGAGGACGACCAGCCACACUGGGACUGAGACACGGCCCAGACUCCUACGGGAGGCAGCAGUGGGGAAUUUUGGACAAUGGCGCAAGCCUGAUCCAGCAAUGCCGCGUGCAGGAUGAAGGCCUUC
rnacentral:rRNA from 1 species